GGCGCGCGAUACAGGGUGACAGCCCCGUACACAAAAGCGCAUGUGCUGUGAGCUCGAUGAGUAGGGCGGGACACGUGGUAUCCUGUCUGAAUAUGGGGGGACCAUCCUCCAAGGCUAAAUACUCCUGACUGACCGAUAGUGAACCAGUACCGUGAGGGAAAGGCGAAAAGAACCCCGGCGAGGGGAGUGAAAAAGAACCUGAAACCGU
rnacentral:rRNA from 1 species